AAAGGCAAGACUGGAAGAGCGAAUCUUUUUAGAACCAAAUGUUUUGGAAUCUUAAAGCUACCAAAUCUGGAAAAGGACCCUGGAAAAAAGAGAGGAGAAAGAUUUUGCAGACUGUUAGUUGCUGUCAUCUCCCUGAGAUUUCCCUGCCUCGCAGAGUACAGAGGAUUCCCCCCAGAGAUGCUGGAGCAGCAGCAUGGGAUGGUCAGGCUGGUCCUGUGUUGAGCUGUCAUCCUGGAUACUUGAUUUAAUCAGUGAUUCCUAAGGAUAGUGACCUGCCACUAGAUGAGAAGAGAUUGAGAUGAUCGUAGUUGACACAGGAAAAGAAUUGGAUCUAUGUCCUGCUUGAAAGAAGAAUUUAUCAGAUUGCCUCUGAAUAUGCAUUAGAAGACCAGCGGAGUUCAGCCCUUUCUGGAGAUGCCUUUCCAGCUCGCUGCAGGAACAACAGCCCUGGUGUAAUUCCAGGAAGGAAGCAGAACCCAUGGAGUCAGCACGGCAGGGACGUGCCUUGCUGUUCACCAUACAUUCAAGCAGGGGCAGGGGAGAGUCCCUCUCAGCCAGAGUGUCCUGCAGCCUUCAGACAAGUGAAAUAUCAGUUAUAGAACAGCAAC